UACGAAGGGGGCUAGCGUUGCUCGGAAUUACUGGGCGUAAAGCGCAUGUAGGCGGUUUGUUAAGUCAGGGGUGAAAUCCUGGAGCUCAACUCCAGAACUGCCUUUGAUACUGGCAAUCUAGAGUUCGGGAGAGGUGAGUGGAACUGCGAGUGUAGAGGUGAAAUUCGUAGAUAUUCGCAAGAACACCAGUGGCGAAGGCGGCUCACUGGCCCGAUACUGACGCUGAGGUGCGAAAGCGUGGGGAGCAAACAGG
rnacentral:rRNA from 1 species